rnacentral:rRNA from 1 species
AACGAACGCUGGCGGCAGGCUUGACACAUGCAAGUCGAACGGACGUAGCAAUACGUUAGUGGCAGACGGGUGAGUAACGCGUGGGAAUAUGCCCUUUAGUUCGGAAUAACUCAGGGAAACGUGAGCUAAUACCGGAUAAUCCCGAGAGGGGCAAGAUUUAUCGUUGAAGGAGUAGCCCGCGUCUGAUUAGCUAGUUGGUGAGGUAAUGGCUCACCAAGGCGACGAUCAGUAGCUGGUCUGAGAGGAUGAUCAGCCACACUGGGACUGAGACACGGCCCAGACUCCUACGGGAGGCAGCAGUGGGGAAUAUUGGACAAUGGGGGCAACCCUGAUCCAGCCAUGCCGCGUGAGUGAUGGAGGCCUUAGGGUUGUAAAACUCUUUUGUCCGGGAAGAUAAUGUCUGUACCGGAAUAAUAGGCCCCGGCUAACUUCGUGCCAGCCGCCGCCGUAA